rnacentral:rRNA from 1 species
AUUGAACGCUGGCGGCAGGCCUAACACAUGCAAGUCGAACGGUAACAGGAAGAAGCUUUCUUCUUUGCUGACGAGUGGCGGACGGGUGAGUAAUGUCUGGGAAACUGCCUGAUGGAGGGGGAUAACUACUGGAAACGGUAGCUAAUACCGCAUAAUGUCGCAAGACCAAAGAGGGGGACCUUCUGGCCUCUUGCCAUCGGAUGUGCCCAGAUGGGAUUAGCUAGUAGGUGGGGUAACGGCUCACCUAGGCGACGAUCCCUAGCUGGUCUGAGAGGAUGACCAGCCACACUGGAACUGAGACACGGUCCAGACUCCUACGGGAGGCAGCAGUGGGGAAUAUUGCACAAUGGGCGCAAGCCUGAUGCAGCUAUGCCGCGUGUAUGAAGAAGGCCUUCGGGUUGUAAAGUACUUUCAGCGGGGAGGAAGGGAGUAAAGUUAAUACCUUUGCUCAUUGACGUUACCCGCAGAAGAAGCACCGGCUAACUCCGUG